AGUCCUGAACAGGCAUAGCACCUUGGAGGGCAGAAGUUGCUGUGCCUGAGAACAAGAAAGCCCCUCUGGUUUCCUUCUCAGCUCCAUGCUUUACAAAUGAUGCACCUUUGUGUCUUUACAGCAGAGACUACGGUCUGGUCCUCUCCUGGGUGCUCUGGUCCAUUGCCAAGUCCUCUAAAGCCUGAUGGCACUUUCCUCACAGCCUGAGAGCAAAAUAACGUGGUGUUAAGGCCCAGGAAGCAAGCUCAUCUUGUACAAACCUGCUCCAGCCCCAGAAGGAACCAUUUCUUUGAGAAGCCCUAGUUCUUUUUGGUGGGCAAAGGUACUAGAGAUUAAGAUCUGGGCACCAGAUUGAAGCCAUCUCUGCAAGGGCAGGGACUUGAUCUUAUUCACGGCUGCCUUCCCAGGACCUGAACAAACAUCCUCAGAAAC